GCUUACGCACACCUCCUGAGCCGCCCGAUCUCAUCUGAUCUCGGAAGCUAAGCAGGGUCGGGCCCGGUUAGUACUUGGAUGGGAGACCGCCUGGGAAUACCAGGUGCUGUAAGCC
rnacentral:rRNA from 1 species